UUUGUGCUCUCUAUACUUCUGU
rnacentral:siRNA from 1 species